GACGAACGCUGGCGGCGUGCUUAACACAUGCAAGUCGAACGGAAAGGCCUGCUUUCCCUUGUGGAUUGCGGGUACUCGAGUGGCGAACGGGUGAGUAACACGUGAGUGAUCUGCCCCCAACUUGGGUAUAAGCCUGGGAAACUGGGUCUAAUUCCCGAUAGGACUGCAGGGUGGUGCCUGUGGUGGAAAGCGAUUUUCUAGUGGUUGGGGAUGAGCUCGCGGCCUAUCAGCUUGUUGGUGGGGUAAUGGCCGACCAAGGCGGCGACGGGUAGCCGGCCUGGGAGGGUGGGCGGCCACAUUGGGACUGAGAUACGGCCCAGGCGCCGACGGGAGGCAGCAGUGGGGAAUAUGGCGCAAUGGGCGGAAGCCUGAUGCAGCGACGCCGCGUGGGGGAUGACGGCCUUCGGGUUGUAAACUCCUUUCGACCGCGAGGAAGCCACCUGGUUGGAAGGGUGGUGACGGUAGUGGUAGAAGAAGCACCGGCUAACUACGUG
rnacentral:rRNA from 1 species